GACGAACGCUGGCGGCGUGCUUAACACAUGCAAGUCGAACGAUGAAGCCGGAGCUUGCUCUGGUGAAUUAGUGGCGAACGGGUGAGUAACACGUGAGUAACCUGCCCUUGACUCUGGGAUAACUGCGGGAAACUGUAGCUAAUACCGGAUACGACCUUCGGAGGCAUCUCCUGGGGGUGGAAAGAAUUUCGGUCAAGGAUGGACUCGCGGCCUAUCAGCUAGUUGGUGAGGUAAAGGCUCACCAAGGCGACGACGGGUAGCCGGUCUGAGAGGGUGACCGGCCACACUGGGACUGAGACACGGCCCAGACUCCUACGGGAGGCAGCAGUGGGGAAUAUUGCACAAUGGGCGCAAGCCUGAUGCAGCAACGCCGCGUGAGGGAUGACGGCCUUCGGGUUGUAAACCUCUUUUAGCAGGGAAGAAGCGAAAGUGACGGUACCUGCAGAAAAAGCACCGGCUAACUACGUGCCAGCAGCCGCGGUAA
rnacentral:rRNA from 1 species